rnacentral:pre_miRNA from 14 species
UUCUACAGGAUGUGAAAGAUCCCUGAAGAGAGACCCUUAUUCAAGUCUUGGGAAUUUGCGGACCCCAGACACAGAGAGACCA